rnacentral:rRNA from 1 species
GGUUAAGCGACUAAGCGUACACGGUGGAUGCCCUGGCAGUCAGAGGCGAUGAAGGGCGUGCUAAUCUGCGAUAAGCGCCGGUAAGGUGAUAUGAACCGUUAUAACCGGCGAUACCCGAAUGGGGAAACCCAGUGUGAUUCGUCACACUAUCAUUAACUGAAUCCAUAGGUUAAUGAGGCGAACCGGGGGAACUGAAACAUCUAAGUACCCCGAGGAAAAGAAAUCAACCGAGAUUCCCCCAGUAGCGGCGAGCGAACGGGGAGGAGCCCAGAGCCUGAAUCAGCAUGUGUGUUAGUGGAAGCGUCUGGAAAGGCGCGCGAUACAGGGUGACAGCCCCGUACACAAAAGCGCAUGUGCUGUGAGCUCGAUGAGUAGGGCGGGACACGUGGUAUCCUGUCUGAAUAUGGGGGGACCAUCCUCCAAGGCUAAAUACUCCUGACUGACCGAUAGUGAACCAGUACCGUGAGGGAAAGGCGAAAAGAACCCCGGCGAGGGGAGUGAAAAAGAACCUGAAACCGUGUACGUACAAGCAGUGGGAGCCCCACCACUAAGCCAGUGGUGAACUCCACAUACGCAUCCUUUGCUGAGGAUACGGUUA